AAAUAUUUCGAUACAAUGCCUCGAGUCCUGCGUGCCAACGCUAAGAAAAACGAAGACGAGGCGCGGAGAGAUUCUCUGUGCCGAAUACUGUAUUGCACAUGAAAUGCAGCUAUUGAGAAAGUCUGUGCUCACCAAACUGCCACAGACAACAAAGAAAUAAGAAUCCACAUGACUAAAUGUUUUAGCACACGGUUUAUAAUAAAGUGAAAUUUUGGUUCAUAACAACACUAUGGAAAAUGUUGUAUUUAUCAGUAAAGAUAAUUUGUAUACAAGCACUGUUAUAGAGUUCUGUUUUAUCCUGUAUAACUUCAAAUAUAAGAAGUACUGUACAUAUUUUAUUCAGAGCAAAAGGAAAUAUGGAAAGGAGCAUUUGAAGUAAUUAACUAAAAUUUGAGACACAUAGAAAUGUUGUACCUGUUUAAAAAUGUGAAAAUCAGUAUUUAGAGGAAGAACUCACAUCAUGUUUUACAGAAUCUAGGUAUAAAAUUACCUAUGACUCUCUGUAAGGUUUACUUACUUGUGUAGUCAUAUUUUAAAUUAAAGGUGUCUUACUGUA